UUCCUGCACAGUGGUCAGAUAGUUGACUGCAGCAUAUUCUAUUACUGAGAGGAAGACGAACACAAAACUGACCCACAGGAACCCUCAGCACUAGGAGGGUGAAGACGAUGCCUCCUGACUCCUGACUGAUGCAGCAUCACUAGGCUGAGGCUGCCAACAUGCUCAGAGGAAGGUGUGAAUGCCUGGAUAUCCCAAGAUGCCUGUGCAGCACAGCAUCAACUAGGAGUGAUGAGAGGAAGAAAUGACAUCAACCCACCCUUAAUAGAGUCUCCAGCUUGUGACCCCUCUGGUAAGGUGACAUCCCGGCCACACCCAUAAGGUAGGUACAGAGGAGCAGGACUACAGCAUCUGCCUGCA